UACGGGGGGGGCAAGCGUUGUUCGGAAUUACUGGGCGUAAAGGGUUCGUAGGUGGCCUGCUAAGUCAAACGUGAAAUCCCUCAGCUUAACUGGGGAACUGCGCCUGAGACUGGUGGGCUUGAGUGCAGGAGAGGAACGCGGAAUUCCAGGUGUAGCGGUGAAAUGCGUAGAUAUCUGGAGGAACACCGGUGGCGAAGGCGGCGUUCUGGACUGCUACUGACACUGAGGAACGAAAGCCAGGGGAGCAAACGGG
rnacentral:rRNA from 1 species